rnacentral:tRNA from 1 species
CGCUCAACGUGGGGCUCGAACCCACGACCCUGAGAUAAAAAGUCUCAUGCUCUACCGACUGAGCUACCCGGGC